rnacentral:rRNA from 1 species
GCAGCAGGCACGCAAAUUACCCACUCCCGGCACGGAGAGGUAGUGACAAAAAAUAACGAUACGGGACUCUAUUGAGGCCCCGUAAUCGGAAUGAGUACACUUUAAAUCCUUUAACAAGGAUCCAUUGGAGGGCAAGUCUGGUGCCAGCAGCCGCGGUAAUUCCAGCUCCAAUAGCGUAUAUUAAAGUUGUUGCGGUUAAAAAGCUCGUAGUUGGUUCUGCGUGCCACGCUGUCGGUUCGCCGCCUGUCGGUGUAACUGGCAUGUCGUGGCAUGUCCUGUCGGUGGUGAACGGGAUCCCUGGUACGACGUAGGCUUUUAUAGCUGAAAUCUGUGCCGUGUGUGUUUCCGUUUGCCGAUCUCUCCUACUCCGGUGCUCUUAAACGAGUGUCGAGGUAGGCCGACACGUUCACUUUGAACAAAUUAGAGUGCUUAAAGCAGGCUAAAAUAUCUGCCUGAAUAGUGGUGCAUGGAAUGAUAAAACAGGACCUCAGUUCUAUUUUGUUGGUUUUAGGAAUAUGAGGUAAUGAUCAAUGUGGACUGGCGGGGGCAUUCGUAUUGCGACGUUAGAGGUGAAAUUCUUGGAUCGUCGCAAGACGCACUAGAGCGAAAGCAUUUGCCAAGUAUGUCUUAAUUGAUCAAGAACGAAAGUUAGAGGUUCGAAGGCGAUCAGAUACCGCCCUAGUUCUAACCAUAAACGAUGCCAGCCAGCGAUCCGCCGAUGUUCCUUUAAUGACUCGGCGGGGAGCUUCUACUCGGGAAACCAAAGCUUUUGGGUUCCGGGGGAAGUAUGGUUGCAAAGCUGAAACUUAAAGGAAUUGACGGAAGGGCACCACCAGGAGUGGAGCCUGCGGCUUAAUUUGACUCAACACGGGAAACCUCA